rnacentral:tRNA from 1 species
GGCCCGAUGGUUUAGUGGUAUAAUUCUCGCUUAGGGUGCGAGAGGUCCCGGGUUCAAUACCCGGUUGGGCCC